GAUGAAGAACGCAGCGAAAUGCGAUAAGUAAUAUGAAUUGCAGAAUUCAGUGAAUCAUCGAAUCUUUGAACGCACAUUGCGCCCGCCAGUAUUCUGGCGGGCAUGCCUGUCUGAGCGUCAUUUCAACCCUCAUGCCCCUAGGGCGUGGUGUUGGGGAUCGGCCAAAGCCCGCGAGGGACGGCCGGCCCCUAAAUCUAGUGGCGGACCCGUCGUGGCCUCCUCUGCGAAGUAGUGAUAUUCCGCAUCGGAGAGCGAUGAGCCCCUGCCGUUAAACCCCCAACUUUCCAAGGUUGACCUCAGAUCAGGUAGGAAUACCCGCUGAACUUAAGCAUAUCAAUAAGCGGAGA
rnacentral:misc_RNA from 1 species